CAUCACAAUGCUGUUCGAGGGAGAGCCGAACCAUCUUCUGCCUGCCACUUCAGAGACUCUAAUUGAGUCAGAUCUUUUUGUUGUAACAGGCAGAAUGAUGGGCCAUGCUUUUCUACAUGGGGGCCCUCCAUUUUAUGGCCUUAGUGAGGCUAUAGUUCACAUGCUCAUCCAUGCUGGAGACAUUGACACAGCAACUGUUACCAUUGCUGAUGUAGCUGAUUAUGACAUAAGAGAUACAAUUAAAAUGGUUGAUGGAGAAGUCGAUCUAACAGAGGAUCAAACAUCAGACAUAAAUAGCCUUGCUAUGUCUUGGGACCUACCUCCAGUUUGCAAAGUCAAUCGGCGCUGGCUGUACCAAAAGCUCCUGAAACAUGCGGUCAUUGUGCGCCGUUUUCGGCAAAUAAAACAAAUACGCAAAGGCCUGAAGCAAACGAAGGUCCUGACUUUGCUUCAGGAAAGGCCGGAGACAUCGACCAUUGUCUUCCCUCGGUCAGAGGAGGCAAUUCCAGAUCCUCAGGCAAUCUUGAGUCUCGUUGUCUGGCCGGGGGAAGACAGUGAUGACGAGGCAGGAGGAACCAGGACGGAACUGACCUGUGGGUUCCUUAGGAGGUUCAUUGAGACGGGCUCCCCAUCUGAUUUAAAACAAUUGAUGAGGUUCUGGCUGGGCUGGGAAAUCCCAGCUGGGAAAAUGGCGGUCCGGGUGGUGGACAGGAAGCACCUGCUAUCAUCUACGUGCUUCGCCUCUCUGAGUGUCCCAGGACAUUUUGAGAAAUAUGAGGAGUUUGCCGACUAUGUGAGGAGGGUCAUUGGGACCACAGACACUGGCUUUGGCCUAAUCUGAGAUUAGUAAGGAAGAGAAUGGGAUCUCGGUUUUUUCUUUUUU
ensembl:lncRNA